ensembl:lncRNA
AUGAACAUUCUGGGACUAAGCCAUCAUUCAUUCAAGAAGAAGAAAAAAGAAGCAAACAUUCUAGGACGAAGAGACAUGGCUGCAGCACAGGAGGAGCUCAGGAGGGCUGUCUUGGCAGUACUUCCGGACCUCCCCGCAGACACACUAACUACAUUGAUGGCAGGCCUGGAGGAACUUGGUGUGGAGAACAAGGAGGACAUGAGCCUUCUAAGUGAAGAAAAUCUUCUGCCCUUUCUCCGUGUGGUCCAGUCUAGAAAGCUUCUCCGUGCCUUUUCAUCUCAAGGUAACCAUAGGUUGGGUGGUUCCGAGACGGGGGUGGUCGUCUGCAUGAAGUGACACAAGGCACUUUUAUCCUUCACCCUGGUGGAGAGAACUCUGGCGCACGUUGGCUGCCGCUUCUCCGUCCGUAUUUUAAUUUAUUACCUCAUUCGUUUGUUUUUAAACAGUAAAGAUUUUAUUAUUUGGUAUUUUUAUGCUGUUUUAUCGACACUGGAGUUGUACUGUGGAGUUUCUCGUGGUUUUGGGCACAACAUCGUGGGAUUGUUGAUCCUGCUGACUAGGAACACUGUGGCCUGUGCGAUAGCUAUUUAUAUGCUGCGGUGUGAUAACAACGCGUCUGGAUUCUAUUUCAAGUGACUCAGUUUGGAUAUUGAUGCUCCUAUCAUGCGGAUUCCUUUGCUUUGCAUUGUCGUCAUCAUCAUCAUCAUCAUUAUUAUUUUGACCCUGUGUGGACUUCGUGGAGAGCGGGUUCUUCAACAACAGUUGGAUUUCAUCAUGAUAAGGUACUCUUUUGCUGAACUUCUCUCAUUGGAACAUUAUUUACUUCCUGACGUCUGUGUUCAAAAGACCUUGAAAUCAUGUCGGCUUUUACGUCGGCCGAAAUAUUUACACAGAGGAUGACGGCGGAAUGUUCAUACUACUGGGACUGGCAUUAAAGUUUUAUGUUCUCUAUCCAAGGACUCUGAAACACAAAAGCAUUCUCUAUGUCGUGUUUGCCAUGCAAAUUUGUGUUAUCCGAAACUGACUCAUCAGAAAAUGCGAAUUGAAACUGCUCGAUUUGCACAUCUAAAUGUUCGUUCACUGAAUAAUAAGACUGCAGUUUUUGACCGCUGAGUGGCGCUUUAAUCACAAGUUUUCAAACAAGCGCAUCAAAGCACAUUUUCGCAAAUAGACGUCAGUUUUGCCUCGCUGAUGUGUUACAUUUGACGGCUGCAGUCAGGGAAAAUGAAAGAAAAACACUAUAGUUAAAAUAUUUAAUAUUCACAGAUGAAAGUUUGGUAAUUAUGAAGUUAUGUGCAUUUCUUAGAACGAAUUCAAGCAGGAUAAAUAUCAAGCCUAUGAGCCUGUGCUUAUAUUUUCUCUAAGCUACACAGUAUUACACCAUAUUUUAGAUUUGACACAUUUAAUAGGUGUGCAGUAUUAUUUAUAUAAUAUGAAUUAUGUGUUAUAUUAUUCAAAAGAAAUUGUGGUUUACUUUGCAUCAGAGCAUUAAAAGUGGCUAUUUUAGUGAGCUAGGCUACAUGGAUUUAUAUGCAAAAUGUCAAUAUUAUCAUAUAUUAGGCCUAUAUUUUAAUUUAUAUUUUAAAAUUCCUUUAAUAAAACAACAUGCAUUUUUGUUAUUCAUUACCUGUCCUUUAUUUUGACAGACAACUUCUUGGGAAAAUAUAUUUGUCUGUAAGAAAUUGUUGCGUGUUUUAUAAAUUAUUUUCUUUAUUUUAGUAAAACGUGAGGCACUGUAUAAUUUCGUUCCCAUUAUUUAGGCCUAAUUAAAACAAGAAAUGAAUAAAUUAAACCUGCACGAUUUAGCUAAAUCAUUGAAAGUCUAAAGAAUGGACGGAUUAAUAAAACGUCCUCACGAUUAAACUCAAGUUCUCUCAUUAUAAUCACCAAACUGCAAAUGAUGUAAAAAAAAAAAAGAGCUUCAUUAAUAGACAACUUCAGUGAUUUUAAAGGGAGCCGCCGUUACUUGCUUACAUAGAAUUUAAGUAAAAAAAAAAAAAAAAAUUGCAGCCGCAUUUAAAUGUAGGUGUGUAAAAUGUCUGCGUGCAAGAUUUGCGCGGCGCAAGUCAUGCUGAGUGCACGCGCAGCAUUUAUUCUUAUUUGUUUUAUCUUCAUUACAAAUCUUGUUUGGUUUUAUUUUGGAUAAUUGCAUGUAAAAAAUAAUUUACGUUGUAAUGCAUAUGCAAAAUGUGAAUAAUUAUUCAUAUUUAAGUGUUUGUGCGAAAAUUAUUAAUGCGCAUGCAGGACAGGGAGGCGCCCUCUAGAUCACUUGAAUUUUUUCCUGAUAAUGAAUUAACUUAAAAUUGUGGUGUCUCACAUACAUGAGAAAUAUAUCUACAGAAACAUGGGAGUGAUUCGACCCUAAGAGUAGUGGGCAUUGAGGCUGUUCGCCUGGAUGCCAGGGGUGGGGAUAUCAUCAAACGCCUUAAACAAAGGGAGACAUAUUGGAUCUAUUCCUUGAGGGCCACCGGUCAUCCAGGUCUUAAUGAAGACUUUGACCUCUCACCUUUUUUGUAAAGGUUGUGUCUCAAUAGGGACAGUGUAUUGUUGUCCGUGAAUGUUGACUGUUCUUUUAAUGUACUGUAAUGCCCAUAAUAAUAUUUUUCUCCUGUUGUUUUAGAACUAUCUUGACAAUGAAUUCAGAAGUAAGAUGGGUAACUAGCCUCUACACAUUUAUUGACUUUAGGGAUAUAAUUGUGUGGAGUACACAAGAUGUUUGUAUUGGUGUUACUCUUUUUUUCCACUUGGAGAUCCCUUAUCUUGUAUUUGUAUGGUUUGACCUUUGGUAUUAGCCAUUAUCUGAACUAUUGCCUCUAGUGGCCAAAAAUUGUGUUGCAAGUACCAGAGUGGCACACCUGAAACCAAUGCAACUAUAAGUAUUGCGUGAUUCUGUCUGUUUGUUACCAACACCCUGAUGAAGGCCAAUGGGCCGAUACGCGUUGGUGUUUUAAUGCUUUAGCCCAACUAUUAAAGGCUUUUUAACUUUUGCAUCCUAUUGAGUGCCUGGACUUGGAUUUUUUUCCAAAAUUUUUUUCUACAUUUAACCCUUCCAAGAGCACCAGAGGAUACAAGGGAUUCCAGCAGCGCUCCAGUUCUCUUUUGUCUAGUCUUAUGAGGAUCAUUUUGGGUGACCCUGGACAGGAGCAGCUCCGUUUUACUUUUUGAACGUUGU